GAGGAUUAUACUGUCUCCCCCCCUAAAUCAAUGAAACUGAUCCCCCCGUGAAGAAGCGGGGAUAAAUAUAUAAGACGAGAAGACCCUAUGGAGCUUUAAACUAAACACCACUUACCUUUAACCACUCCCUUACAAACAGGUAAAGAUCGUGUGUGUUUUCAGUUGGGGUGACUGCGGAGCAAAAUAAAACCUCCACGAUGAAACAAUCCUCUAAUCUAAGAACAACAUUUCAAAGAAUCAACAAAUUGACAUAAAUUGACCCAAAUAUUAAUUUGAUCAACGAACCAAGUUACCCUAGGGAUAACAGCGCAAUCCAUUUCAAGAGCUCAUAUCGACAAAUG
rnacentral:rRNA from 1 species